GGAGGACAGCACCGAUAUGUCGAGCUGCGCCCUGUGCUGUGAAGCUCUUGUUUCAGUGCCCUCCCUGCCGUGCCGCCGCAACCGCGCCGCGACGACGGCUGUCACGCUACCGCGGAGGACGGUGCCGCCUGAUGCCGACGCGGGCGUCGAGGCCUACCGGCACCACGUAGCCCGCAGAGCUGACAUCGGCGGCGGCUGUGCUUCUGCACGUUCGCGUCGCACCUCUGCGCACCGCACGGCGUUGUCGGAGCACGGUGUGCGCCAGCCCAGCAGCCGGGGUGAUAGGUGCCGACCUGCUGUGUGUGACGCGCGCGACCGCACCGCACGAGACCCGGUGCAGGCGCCGGCGUCGCCCUUGUCCGGGAGGGUGCAGCGGCGGCGCCUGUGGAUGUUGCCCUGUGACGCUUUUCGUCCUCCGCGCUGAGCUUCGGUCACGCCUCCGCGACGUCUUGCCGAGAUGCGGAGGCGUGUGCGACGACAGGCGAUGCUGAUGCGCUUCUCCUGCCCGCACCGCGUCUGGGCCGGCCAGCGGUGGGGUGGGCGCCCCUGCCGUGGCGGCGCGCGAUGGGCGCCGGCGUCGUGCGGCUGCCACACCCUCGCCACGGCCGGGCGCUCCUGUGCUUCGUGGUGCGCGAUCCGGUUGCCUGCACCGUGGCGAGGCCGCGCACGCCGACGCUGCCUUGCCCGGCGCAUGCCUCGUCCUCGCUGCUGUAGGAGGUGCGGGCGCACGCGCCGCCGAGCGGCUUCGCGCAGCGCUGCGACCGCCUGGCGCGCACCUUCAUGUCGGCGGCAGACCUGUACAGGGAUGGGGACGCGCCGCUCUCAGCUGGCGCCUCCGCCUCCGCUGCUGGCUGCGAGGCCGCGGCGCCGUGGGCAAACGCGUGUGUGUUUGCGCUCGGCGGUGUGUGCGGUGGUGGCGAGGACUGGCGGUCGCCGAGGUCCGCGUGUGCGCGGCUGACGGCCGAGCUUUCCGCCUGGAGUGGAGCGGAUGGCACGCACGUGGGGUGCGGGGGCCCGCACGGCUGGACGGCUGACCCGCGGUCGCGGCCGGCGGCGUCGUCCAUGUGCUCUGCCACGCCUCACGGGUGGGCUGGCUGGGCACGUGCAGCAGCAGCGCGCCCGCUCCUCCUGCGCGGCUGCGUGGGCGUGCCUGAGUCCGACGGCGUGCUGCGGCGGCUGUGCGAGGCCCGUGAAGUCGGCGGCAGCGUCUCUGCGCAGACGGCGUCCUGUGAUGCGCCCGCCGACAGCCGCCACGCUGCGCACCACAGGCCAUCCGAGUCGGUGGCGGUGGGGUGGCUGACGAGACAAGUAGAGCGCGUGCGCGCCUCUGCGGUGCUGCGAGCAAUACUGCGGCUGCCGGGUGUCGGUGCUGCUGCGACGGCGACGGCGGCUGCGCCCGCCGAGGCGUGCGUGGGGGCCGCCAUGGCUGUUGCGCUUGGGGUGGUGGCCGAGUACGUGCCGGUCCGGCUGCACGCGGCUCUUGCGGUGGCCUGCGGUCUCGCCGACCCCGCGGCGGCGCCAGCUUGCUCGCCGACAGCGGCGGCGUGACGCGACUGGAGAAGGCUGGGCAGCGGAAGGGCACGCCCCCCUUGCUGGCCGUGCUCGGCGAGAGGAAGCCGAGGACGGAGGGUGGCGCGCCGUGGGCGUGGCGUGGGCGCACGACGGGCCUCGCCAUGGCGGCGCGACGCACGGCGUGUGCCGUGCAGGGUGGGCGAGCAAGGGUGUGCGGGGGAGGGGACGCCGUCGCCUCUGCUGCGUGCUGUGCGGGAGGGCGGCCGCGUGCGUGGGGACAGGUGCAACUGUCCGUCCCGCCCCCGAUGCGGGUGGAGCGCGCUGGAGCCCGUCUGUAUGCGCAUGCGCGCUGCUGCUGUGGCCAGCCUCCCUUCUGCGCCGCCGCGUCGCAGGCGGCACCGCUGCGUUGAGACACGGCGCGCGCCGGUGGGUGGGGUGAGGCCGGGAAUGACUUCUGCUUGGCUUGCUUGCGUGCGAGCAUGCUGGUGGGCUGCUGCCUGGGCGGACUCGGCACGGUGCACCCCAUCCCUCCUCCCUGCGGUCGCCUCGUGCGCGGCGAGGGUGUGCUCUCGCCUUGGCGGUGGCGGCGUGCGUGCGAGCGUUCUCUCCUGCUGGCGCACGUCGGCCGUGCAUCCGCGUGCCGGCGCUGUCUCUGUGGUGUAGGGGAGCGGCCCCUCGUGCCCCCUCUCCCCUCAUCCCUGCGCAUGCGGGGCGGCUUGUGGUGGUGGCAGGGGUAGGCCCCUGCGGCGUAGGGGGAGGCGAGGGCGAUGCGUCGCGGCCUGUGUCGGCGGUGAGGUUGUGGAUGGCGUGGCGCCGGAGCGACGUGCGGCAGUGGACGCGCUUGUGCUGUCCGCAUGGCGGACGAGGGGUCAACGGGGCUCGGGCGUCUCCCACCCGGCCGUUGCUGCCUGCUGGUGGGGAGCCUGAGCCACGCGAAGGUGGACGCACGGGGUGGCUGCCGGCACGGUGCGCGCUGCUGUGGGGCGACCUGCGUGGGGGAUGGGUGGGCAGAGGCUGUGCAGGGGACCGUGCUCAUGCUGCUGGGCCGCGCGCGGGGGCGGCGCGGGGUGUAGCGUGGCGUCGGCCUGCUGCUGUAGGGCGGAGGCAUGGACGCGUCGAAGGGAGCUGCUUGCGCUGUGGCAGACAUCGUCACCCCGGGUGCCGCCUGGCACUCGCCGCUGUCCCCACCUGCCACGUGCGGCCACCCACGCAUGCGGGCGACGAGCGACAUCGGCACUCAUGAGGGUUUUGUGUCCUGUGCGUCCACACCCCCACCGCGCUUGGACAGCGCGCCCAUGCAGCGGUGGGGGCCUCAUGGGCAGAGGGGGGGGUGCCCGCGCCACUGCCUGCUCUCUUGUCCCCGCGUGUCCUUCCUCGGUGAUGGGGGCGAGCAAGCGAGUGCCCCUCGCCGGCCUCUCCCGCCCCACCGAGCAGCGAGAGACACACGUGAGCCACAACGGCGGCCUCGCCUGUGCUGCCUGUGCGUGGCGAGCGGGCGCGUGCAGCCGCAUCCUUCCCCCGCGUGUGCGCACACACCCGUCCGUGGGCGGUGCCGGCGUCUUGCGCGGCGUUGCUCGGCGGUCGCUUUUCCUUUGCUCUCGUCGACUCUGGCGCAGGGUGGUGAGGGCUGCCACCCGGACACGCCCAGGCUGGCGUGGCUGAAGGCAUCGCCGCUGUAGCCGCAACGGGUACGAGUGCGCGCGAGCAGGCGCAGCAGCAGUGGCGGCUGUGGUGCGGGGGUGGUGUUUCCGCCUCCCCCUCUCGGCGUCACUGGCGCCCCUACCAUGCGUAGCGCGUGGUCGUGCUGCCCGUGCUGCUGUCUUGAACCGUGCUUGAUGCUUGCUCCCACUGCGACGCACUUGGCCACUGCCCUGCCGCUCAUCGUUAUUGGUUUCAUGGAGGUGCUCGUGCCGCGUCGCACAGCACUGCGCACACGCACACACACACACACGCACACACACACACACACGUACACACACACACACGU
rnacentral:misc_RNA from 1 species